CGCCAGACUCCUACGGGAGGCAGCAGUGGGGAAUAUUGCACAAUGGGGGAAACCCUGAUGCAGCGACGCCGCGUGAGCGAUGAAGUAUUUCGGUAUGUAAAGCUCUAUCAGCAGGGAAGAAGAUGACGGUACCUGACUAAGAAGCCCCGGCUAACUACGUGCCAGCAGCCGCGGUAAUACGUAGGGGGCAAGCGUUAUCCGGAUUUACUGGGUGUAAAGGGAGCGUAGACGGCGAUGCAAGCCAGAUGUGAAAGCCCGGGGCUCAACCCCGGGACUGCAUUUGGAACUGGGUGGCUGGAGUGUCGGAGAGGCAGGCGGAAUUCCUAGUGUAGCGGUGAAAUGCGUAGAUAUUAGGAGGAACACCAGUGGCGAAGGCGGCCUGCUGGACGAUGACUGACGUUGAGGCUCGAAAGCGUGGGGAGCAAACAGGAUUAGAUACCCGUGUAA
rnacentral:rRNA from 1 species